rnacentral:rRNA from 1 species
AUGCAGUCGAACGCGAAAGUCACUUCGGUGGCGAGUAGAGUGGCGGACGGGUGAGUAACGCGUAGGAAUCUGCCUAGUAGUGGGGGACAACUCGGGGAAACUCGAGCUAAUACCGCAUACGCCCUACGGGGGAAAGUGGGGGAUCUUCGGACCUCACGCUAUUGGAUGAGCCUGCGUCGGAUUAGCUAGUUGGUAGGGUAAAGGCCUACCAAGGCGACGAUCCGUAGCUGGUCUGAGAGGACGGCCAGCCACACUGGGACUGAGACACGGCCCAGACUCCUACGGGAGGCAGCAGUGGGGAAUAUUGGACAAUGGGCGCAAGCCUGAUCCAGCAAUGCCGCGUGUGUGAAGAAGGCCUGCGGGUUGUAAAGCACUUUCAAUUGGGUAGAAAAGCUUGAGGUUAAUAGCCUCGGGUCUUGACGUUACCUUUAGAAGAAGCACCGGCUAACUCCGUGCCAGCAGCCGCGGUAAUACG